rnacentral:rRNA from 1 species
CCUACGGGAGGCAGCAGUGGGGAAUAUUGGGCAAUGGGCGCAAGCCUGACCCAGCAACGCCGCGUGAAGGAAGAAGGCUUUCGGGUUGUAAACUUCUUUUGUCAGGGACGAAGCAAGUGACGGUAACUGACGAAUCAGCCACGGCUAACUACGUGCCAGCAGCCGCGGUAAUACGUAGGUGGCAAGCGUUAUCCGGAUUUAUUGGGUGUAAAGGGCGUGUAGGCGGGAAUGCAAGUCAGAUGUGAAAACUAUGGGCUCAACCCAUAGCCUGCAUUUGAAACUGUAAUUCUUGAGUGCUGGAGAGGCAAUCGGAAUUCCGUGUGUAGCGGUGAAAUGCGUAGAUAUACGGAGGAACACCAGUUGCGAAGGCGGAUUGCUAGACAGUAACUGACGCUGAGGCGCGAAAGCGUGGGGAGCAAACAGGAUUAGAUACCCCAGUAGUC